CUUUGAUUUUGGGUGAGAAGAACUGGAUUUCCUUUUGGUAGCAUUUUUCCGUGGAAUGUUAUUUUCCUUUUCUCGUCUUUUCAUUUAAUCUCGGUUUCUUAGCCCACAAUUUAUAACCGUAUAACUUCAUUUUUUCAGGUUAUUCUGGAGCACGUGAAGUGUAUGAAGAAAUACUUUUUUGGAUUCUCAGGAGCAGGAGAAGUGCGUGAGGAAAGUCUUCUUAGAUAAGUUUUCUUCGUAUUCCCUGUUCUUUCAUAUAUGGCAUUGUUCAAUAUAUCUGUUAUGUUUUGGUUUGAUUUGUUGACAUGAUCUAUGCAAUAUUUAAUUCUAUUCGAAUAUGUUCAUUAUGUUUUGGUUUGUGUCCUUUAUGUUUCAUUUUUUAUUUCUCAUUUCUUUCUUUGUGGGUGAGAAUAGUGUAAUUUCCAUUUCUGGUCUUUUCAUGUGAUCUCGGCUUCUUUUGCAAGCAUUUCUAAGCAUAUCACUGGAUUUUUCAGGUUUCUCGGAAGCAAGAGAAGUUUACGAGGAAGUACUUCUUAUCUAAGUUUACUUCGUAUUCCCUUUUUUCUGCUAUAUCGCAAUUUCCAUUAUCUCUGUUAUGUGUUGGUAUUAUUUGCUGAUUUGUGUUAUUUUUUGUGCGCAUUUGUGUUUUGUUUUUUGUUUGUGAUUUCUUUGAUUUUGGGUGAGAAGAACUGGAUUUCCUUUUGGUAGCAUUUUUCCGUGGAAUGUUAUUUUCCUUUUCUCGUCUUUUCAUUUAAUCUCGGUUUCUUAGCCCACAAUUUAUAACCGUAUAACUUCAUUUUUUCAGGUUAUUCUGGAGCAGGUGAAGUGUAUGAAGAAAUACUUUUUUGGAUUCUCGGGAGCAGGAGAAGUGCGUGAGGAAAGUCUUCUUAGAUAAGUUUUCUUCGUAUUCCCUGUUCUUUCAUAUAUCGCAUU